ensembl:lncRNA
GGUUUUAUUAUUCUGCAAAAAGGAAAAAAUUAUUACAAAAAUUCUGAAUGACAAAAAUGAGCUAUUUUGGGAACCAAGUGGGCCCACAGAAGAGGGCAACUUAAGAACUUCUACUUAAAACCCACUUCACAAACCAUAACUCUGCAAACUGCCCUGCCUAAAUGAGAGACAGCUCCAGUUAUAUAGCAAGUGAAUGAACUAUUGUAUACACCAAAGGUGAAAACUACAGAGAUAAUAGCUAAUCAUAAUACAAGAAUGACCUUAUUCCCCCCUGCAUGGUCACAACAGAUGGUUAAGUCCAUUUUAUUGGCCUCUGCAUUUAAACCAGCUCCACCCUCAGCCUCCUCUUUUACUCAAAAAAGGAAGGACUGGAGCGGCAGCCAGGUCUCCCUGCUCGAAAGCAGGAGAAGAAAGUCAGACGACAGUGAGGAAGGGAUGGGAGCACAGGAGAGGGAGGAGGAAGACUGCGCUUCUUCAGUGGGGAGAAAGCUGCACAAAACCAGCAAGGAGGUUUAUUUCAGCGUCCUGCCAGAUAAAUAUGAACCUCUGAUUGAGGACGAUGAGGAGAGAGAGGAGACUGCAGAGGAGAAAAAGAGGAGGAAGGAGGCGAGGAAGAAGAAAAGGAAAAAUACAUGCAAGAAGUACAGGAAGAAUGUGGGGAAAGCGCUACGCUUCAGCUGGCGCUGCCUGGUAGCUGGUCUGCAGAGCAUGGCGUCCGUGUACUCCACACCUCUCUCAGCUGUGGCCACCGUGGUAACAGAUGUUCACCAAGCCAGUGGCAGCAAGACAUGAUGGGACUCGGAGGAACCAGGAGUGUAGCCCCUUAUUCCUUGUGUUCAAGCUGACUUUGAAUUCAUCACCUCUGUUGUGCCUGUUUUGUUUUUAUUCUAUUUUUAUUUCUAUUUCUGAGAUAUAUACUAUAUAUUUACUCGAUUUAUGAAAACCAUUGAUCCCUGUCACAUUUAUGGCCUCGGUUUUCAAAUUUGAACCGAACCCUGCUGUUGUGUUAAAUUAAACAAUCGUCUUUCAUGUUUGGGGUAAAACUGAACCCUAAAAUUCACCUCAAGUAGAAACCUAACCCUAACCCCAGAACACUUUGGGUUUAUUUACUGUCUUAAGAAGCUUUCUGUUCCGUGUGGGCUUUGGCAGCCACUGGCAACCCAACAACUAGCAAUGUCUGUGUACAAAUCUCAGCCACAAGGAGGCUCCACCUUGUGGCGCUUCUCCACAACUGCACUUUAGAAGCUCAUUGACAGAGAUAAAUUUUUGAGGUCCUGGAGCACUAAACGGAUAUAUUCGUCCAGUCAACCAACCAUACUUGGAUAAAGUAAAGAUGUUCUAGUAGGAAGCUGACGCACUCCUCUCCUUUCUGCUCUUUAUGUUUUUAUGAAGGUUAGGAGAGUCAGUAAAUGCUGUUAAAAUAAUCAGAAUAAAUAAAAAAAUACUAAUUUGUCUUUCAUGAUGUUUGUUUACAUAAUCAAAGGUCAGGUACUUUUUGUGCAUUUCACAAGUGCUUAUUGAAAAAUAAAUGUAAAUAUGACCAAAAAAGUGUGAGGACAUUUGUUUUUAAGCCAGCGCAUUUGUUGAUAAGUCAUCUGUAAUACGACCCAGGGGAUUGUGGAUGAUGCAGGGCAUAAAAAAGCUUCCACGGCAGCUACAGAAAAGAGAAUAGAGCUUUUCCAUCAUCAUAUAUGACAGAGUAACAUAUAUUUAUGUAUUUCCCUCUAUGGGCCCAUCACACAGCUGAAAGGUAUUUUUCAGGUUACUGUGCGUGUUCAUGUACAUGUAACCACACUAGUCCUGCUGAUUGCUCGGUUGUGUGCUGGAUUAUGUACUCUCCAUGCCGGGUAACAUUUCUUCUGUGGGUGUACUUAGGGGCAUGUACGCUCAUUGCAUAUAUUGUAAAUUGUAUAUUGUACCAUUUAUAUUGUGGCUGAAGGUUGGUCAUUAGUGGACAAUCUUGGCUUUGGUUUCUUAGGAAACCAUCUAAUAUGUCAUAUUUCACUGAGCAGUAUCCUUCACUUUUAUUGGCUUUCGCUUCAAUCUGUAGAAGUCUGCGUAGGUUCCUCAGUCAUCCAUUUUAGUUUAGUGCUUGAAUUUAAGAAAACUGGACUUCCACUUUUAGGCUCUUGAAUAUGUUUCACCUUUUAUCAAAAAUGUCUUUUUUUUUCUCCACGCAUUGCUGCUU